rnacentral:rRNA from 1 species
GAUCAUGGCUCAGAUUGAACGCUGGUGGCAGGCCUAACACAUGCAAGUCGAACGGUAACAGGAAGAAGCUUGCUUCUUUGCUGACGAGUGGCGGACGGGUGAGUAAUGUCUGGGAAACUGCCUGAUGGAGGGGGAUAACUACUGGAGACGGUAGCUAAUACCGCAUAACGUCGCAAGACCAAAGAGGGGGGACCUUCGGGCCUCUUGCCAUCGGAUGUGCCCAGAUGGGAUUAGCUAGUAGGG